ACCAUUUGGCCGCUCGCAUUCUACGCAGCUGUUCGGAACCCGGGUUCCUGGGCUCCUCACUCAGCUCAUUGUCUCUUAGUCUCCUGUCUCUUCGAGGAACAAGGCUCAGCUGGGAGGUCGCAGCCCACCCCAGGCGGUGGGUCCGGCAUACGCCCAGGUAGCAGACGUGCCCGCGGUGCUGGGGGACCUGGUGCUGGCCUCGCCUGGAGAGGGAGCGUGGGAGAAAACCGGGUUCAAACCGAAUUGAGAGAUGGAGCGUGAUGGAGGUGGGCACCCAAGCACUCCAAGACCAGCGGGGAGGCUUACAGAUCACCUGCCCGUUCCGCGGCCGGGAGAGGGCGCUCGCCCUUUACGGUCUCCCUCCCGCCCUGUCCCUGCUGCCACCCGGGUUUCUCACCUGGCUGCAGUGUCCAGGUCCCCUUGGGCGGAGAAGGCGAGGAGCAACAGCAGGAUGAGGAUGUGGAUAGUCAUCGUGGGCAGGGCGGGUCAGGAUCCGUGGCCCGUAGUUGCGGCCACCCCGCCCCGUUCCCGCACCGGGCUGAUCGCCUCUGGGUGCAGCUCUGGAGCCAGGUACCAGGGCCAGUCCCCACUUCCCAGGCGGGGAACACUGAGGCCAAAAGUCUGUGGGAAGAGGCCGCACCACACCAGAGGGGCAGGAUUCAAACCCGGGUCCCCGCUUCCCGCACCGCGGCUCCAGAGACCUCACUGGGUGUGUGGGGUCACACCAGCUGCUGUCUAUCCCCCUAGGAGGUCUGUGGAGACUCGCCCCCUUCAAAGCGUGGGGAAAUGGGGCGGGGCCAAUGACACCCGCAGGUAGCUAAGCAGCGGGAUUCCAAGAAAAGGGGUGGCGGCGGGGAAGCGCUGGCUCUGGUUGUAGAUGCGACCUCACCCUCACCCUGUCGGGAAGCCGGUUAGUAGACAGUUGGGACCCUGGAACCUCGGGGGCCAGGCAAUGCAGGGCAAGUGCACAUGCGGCCCCCUGGAGGGCGUGGAGCGAGGGAGACCCCAAACACACUGAGGAGCGCCCCUCCGGAAGAGAAAAGGCCGAGGUGUCAGGCACUCGCCGGUGAGGGCUCCAGUUGCACUGAAGCAGGUGUAGCCAGGGCUGUUCAACGAGGAGGGUGUCCUGGGUCAACCAGGUCGAGUGCACAGUAUUGUGGGGGACCCAGGACCCCGUGGCCAGGCCCUGAGGGUGGAAGGGUGGGUGCAGACGCCAUGUCUGCAGCAGAGGCAGAGGGACCUCGUCUUCACCUCUGUAAGAUGGGUAGGCCCUGCCACCUUACAGCUGCAACUCCCACUGACCUCCAUGGAGGGCAAGUCCCCAGCCCUAAGCCCCAAGCCAUUCUAGGGGA
rnacentral:lncRNA from 1 species